GAUGAACGCUGGCGGCGUGCCUAAUACAUGCAAGUCGAGCGAACAGAUGAGGCGCUUGCUCCUCUCACGUUAGCGGCGGACGGGUGAGUAACACGUGGAUAACCUACCUAUCAGACUGGGAUAACUUCGGGAAACCGGAGCUAAUACCGGAGAAUAUAUUGAACCGCAUGGUUCGAUAGUGAAAGACGGUUUUGCUGUCACUUAUAGAUGGAUCUGCGCCGCAUUAGCUAGUUGGUAGGGUCACGGCCUACCACGGCAACGAUGCGUAGCCGACCUGUGUGGGGGGUCGGCCGCCCGGGAAGGGAGACAGGGACCUUGGUCCUACGGUACGCAGCAGUAGGGUACGUGCGGCAGUGGUCGAAAGUCUUACGGAGCAGGGCGGAGUGAGUGAUGGAGGCCUCCGGAGCGUAAUACUCUGUUAUUAGUGAUGAACCAAUGUGGAAGUAAACAAGGCGGGAUUGACGGUAACUAGUAAGAAAGCAACGGCUAACUACGUG
rnacentral:rRNA from 1 species